rnacentral:lncRNA from 1 species
CAGGCCCUAAAACAAUACAGAGAAACCCUGUCUUGAAAACAAACAAACAAACAAACCAACCAAAACCUACAAUGCUUUAAAAGGUGUCUCCUAAUGAGAUAAUCAGAUAACCAUUUUGUUAAAAUAACUUUCAGGUAAUGUCUUAGCUACUUUUCUAUUGUUGUGAAGAAACACCAUGAUCUUGGCAACUUCGAAAAGGAAACAUUGAAUUAGGGACUCAUUUACAGUUUCAGAGUCAGUCAACAAUCAAGGUGGGGAGCAUAGCAGCAGGCAGGACAUGGUACCCACAAAGGUCAGAAGACAAGGAGCCCCUGGAACUUGAGC